UGUGAGCAAUGUUCCCUCUAAGCUGCGCGCGUGCGCAAUCGCGCACUGCCCGCACAUUCUCAGCGCACAAGAAAAUCUAUCCAGCGCAUAAACAACAUCAACAUAACGUAUUAAUUCAUAUCUAAUAUUAGACCUAAUCUAAUCUAAUUAAUUCGCCCAAUAAUAUUGUUUUUUUGUUUCUCACUCAGUGAGUGACAGGUGUCCAGCCAAUGAUACGAUACGGUUCACUUACGGUACGAAGCCAAUCAUGGCAUUGACGGUGCUUGCGUCUGGGCCCUGCCUAUAUGCGCCGUGCAGGUUAGCUAGCAGGUUAAUAGAUGCUAAUACAAACCCCGCAUCAUGGCGAAACGAACAGGCAACGACACAUCCACUCAGCAAGCCACAGUAAAAAAGAAAUGCAGUUCUUUUAAGAUGGAAUGGCUGUCGGAGUAUGUGCAAAUUGAAGAAAAAGCGGUGAAAUUGGGUGAGAUUUUUUCUUUUUCAAGUGAGAAAGGUCUACUCUGCAAAACAUGCAGCGAUGCCAAAGUAGCAAGUGAGUUUUCAGAGGGAAAAAUGUGGACUGAAUGGAAGCUGGACUAUCUCAAGCGUCACGUUCAGCAUAAAAGUCAUUUAAAAGCUGUCGAAACUGUACGAAGACUCAAGAUGGGACAGGGGAUUGGUACAUUAUUGCGGGAGAGCGCAAAAGAGCGAGAGAAAAGGAACGAGCUGUCACACAAAACAAAAUCGGACCCUGAACAAGUUAAAGACCAGCUGAUGCGCAUAAAGUCAAAGCAAGAAGCAGACGAAGCCAUCAACCUGGACAAAGUGUACAACCAUUGGAGAAGUGAGAAGGACAGACGUGAAAAAUAAGAACAGGACCCUCAGCCAGGCAAAGCAGGACUCUUCCCAUGGCCAAAGCAGGACUCUCACAUACUGUAUAACAUCUACACAUCCCAUUUUUCAGAUUUUUGUCUUUUUUUAAGUGGACCAAAUUACUUAUUUAAAAAUAAAGCGUGCAUAUCUAAUGUUG